CCCAGACUCCUACGGGAGGCAGCAGUGGGGAAUAUUGCACAAUGGGGGAAACCCUGAUGCAGCGACGCCGCGUGAGCGAUGAAGUAUUUCGGUAUGUAAAGCUCUAUCAGCAGGGAAGAAAAUGACGGUACCUGACCAAGAAGCCCCGGCUAACUACGUGCCAGCAGCCGCGGUAAUACGUAGGGGGCAAGCGUUAUCCGGAUUUACUGGGUGUAAAGGGAGCGUAGACGGCGAUGCAAGCCAGAUGUGAAAGCCCGGGGCUCAACCCCGGGACUGCAUUUGGAACUGUGUGGCUGGAGUGUCGGAGAGGCAGGCGGAAUUCCGUGUGUAGCGGUGAAAUGCGUAGAUAUACGGAGGAACACCAGCGGCGAAGGCGGCCUGCUGGACAUUAACUGACGCUGAGGCGCGAAAGCGUGGGGAGCAAACAGGAUUAGAUACCCCAGUAA
rnacentral:rRNA from 1 species